ensembl:lncRNA
GCUGAGACCUGACACAACUCGUGCCAGCGAUGCUCCUGCAGCGCCUGAGCCCCAGCGGCUGCCGACUCCCUCGGUCCUGCCUCCAUUGGUGACCAGUGACAGGAGGGAGGGGGGAACCCCCCCGGGGCAGCCCCCCAGCAUGUGCGGGGCCUGGGGGGGGAGGUGAGGGGCGCUGGCGCCCCUCGGGCCUCCCCCCCCCCCCCCCCCCAAGGAAGCCCCCGGCUACCCCAUUUUGCUGCCUUUGCCCGGGGCCAGCCCAGCUGCUGCGGCCCCCCAGAACCCGCCCUCGGCAAGAAACGCACCUUAAACAUGUUAAAUCAAGGCAAAAAAUCAUCACCUUGACACCCCCCCCCAGCGGGGGGGGCGGGAUGAGGCUUCCUGUGGGGGAGUCCGGGAGCCCCUAUCCCCCACGCCCCGGGGACUUUGCACUGCUCCCCCGACACCCCCAAAGGGAAUAUGCAAACCCCCCCAUAGCCCUCGGAGUGGGGGGGGGAGGGGGGGAGGCACCACUAAUUUUUAUUAUUAUUUCUAUUUUAAUUGUUUUCCCUUUUAGUUUUUAACCCCCUCCACGCCCCCCACCCCACAGCGGGGGUGGGCGCAAAGCGAGGUGGGGGGAGAUCCACAUAUGAUCCCCCCAUCAUCGGGGCUGCUUAUGGGGAGGGGUCCCAUAAGAUGAGGGGAUGAAGGGGGGGGUCCGCUCGACAAUCACCAGGGCCCCCCCGGGGGGUUUCGUGCACUACAGCCUCUCCUCGAGGGUUUUUUUAGGCUCGUCGGCUUCAACCGUUAAUGAAUAGUCCUCGUGCCCUAUAAAUAACGCUGUACAUAGGAGCUCCCCCCCCCGCACACACACAUAUAUAUAUAUGGGGCUGCGGGGCAGGGGGGCCCUGCGGGCCGCACGCACCUAAAGGUACUUUAAAGCGCAAAGGAAUAUAUAUAUAUAAAUAUCACUAUAUAUAUAUAUACAUACCCCGCUAUAUAUAUAUGGCGUGUCCGUUGUCGGUUUGUUUCUGGUUUGGGUUUGUUUUUCCCGUAUUCUUGAGUUUGGAAGCCCUGCUGCUGCGGGGCGGGGGGGGAGCACCCAUGGAUGCCCCCCUGCAGCACCCGGGGAUACCCCCCUGCAGCACCCAUGGGUACCCCCGUGCAGCAGCACCCGGGGGUGACCCCAUGCAGCACCCUGGGGUAUCCCCCCUGCAGCACCAAUGGGUGCCCCGCACGGUGCCAGCGGGCCGGCGGGAGCGGAGAUGGAGCCCAGGAGGGGGGUGUGCGUGUAAUGGGGGGUCACAUCCCCCCCUCCAACCCCCCAAAUGGCGGCAGAAGGAGGGACCCCCCCAAAAGGCGCCUUUCGGGGGGCAGCCGGGGCCCCCUCACAAACCAAAAACCUGCCGCAGUGCCUCCGCGCUACCGGCUGCCCCGCCGCCUUUUGGGGGGGGUCCUACCCUCCGCGCCCCCUCCGCAUCCCCCCUGCACCCCAAUGUUCCUCCCUCCGGAUUCCCCCCACUUUGUACCCCCCCGAGCAGCCGGAUUCUCGCUUCUCGCUUCGCCGCAGCCGUUACUGACACCCCGGGACACCCCGGGACCCCCCCCCCCCCGGUGCAUCACGAUACUCGGUUCUCCCGCCGCGCAGCCGCUGCCGAUCCCCGCCGCGGGGGGGAGGUGGGUUUUGGGGGGUUCUGUUUGUUUUGUUUCUUUUUUUUUUUUUUUUUUUUUUUGGGUUUUGGGGUUUUUCGGUUGUUUCUUCCCCUCCCCCCUAUGCAAAAAAAAAAAAAAAAGAGACAAAAAAGAAGAAAAAAGAAAAAAAAAAGCCAAAAACAAAACAAAAACUGACACGGGGAAAAAAAAAAAAAGUUAAAAAAAAAAGAAAAAA